rnacentral:rRNA from 1 species
CAGGUGUAGCGGUGAAAUGCGUAGAGAUCUGGAGGAAUACCGGUGGCGAAGGCGGCCCCCUGGACAAAGACUGACGCUCAGGUGCGAAAGCGUGGGGAGCAAACAGGAUUAGAUACCCUGGUAGUCCACGCCGUAAACGAUGUCGACUUGGAGGUUGUGCCCUUGAGGCGUGGCUUCCGGA